UAAUACGUAGGGGGCAAGCGUUGUCCGGAAUUAUUGGGCGUAAAGCGCACGCAGGCGGUUUUUUAAGUCCGAUGUUUAAGCCCGGGGCUCAACCCCGGUUCGCAUGGGAAACUGGAAGACUUGAGUGCAGGAGAGGAAAGCGGAAUUCCACGUGUAGCGGUGAAAUGCGUAGAGAUGUGGAGGAACACCAGUGGCGAAGGCGGCUUUCUGGACUGUAACUGACGCUGAGGCGCGAAAGCGUGGGGAGCAAACAGGA
rnacentral:rRNA from 1 species